GAUUCUAAGAGAACAUUCUUUAUGAUGAAACAACAUUUCCCUAUGAAACCAUGGAAUAGAUUCUAAGAGAACAUUCUUUAUGAUGAAACAACAUUUCCCUAUGAAACCAUGGAAUACAUGCUAAGAGAACAUUCUUUUUCACAGGUAUUAUGGUGUUGUAACCUUGGUAUCAAUAUUUCAGUACUCCAAUGUGUACUGCACAACCCCUACAGUCCAGAGCCUGAUAGAUGACAGGUCCAUUCAGGAGGAGUGUCUCAACUAUGUCACCAAGAAAGGACAGAAGAGAGCCUGUUUAAGGGAUGUGUUCCAGCUGUACUGUGGUCUGACUCCAGGCACCACAGUUCGUGAUCUUUGCUCCCGCUACUCACAGCAGCUGCAGAGGGUAGAUGAGAGGAGGCUGAUCCAGUAUGGACUGAUGAAGGCUCUCAUUCGCCGUCUGCAGAAGUAUCCUGUUAAGGUGACACGAGACGAGAGGAGCCGCCCACCACGCCUUUACACUGGUUGCCAUAGUUACGACGAAAUCUGCUGCAA